GCUGGCAGAUAGCUCCCUGCAACUUUCACAUGGUUGCCCUCUGAAGGGAAGCAGGGCUGCGCUAAGUCAGUACCUGGAUGGGGGACCACAUGGGAAAGCUAGGUUGCUGCCCGAA
ensembl:rRNA 5S_rRNA 5S ribosomal RNA